rnacentral:rRNA from 1 species
ACUGGCGGACGGGUGAGUAACACGUAGCUAACCUGCCCUUCCGCGCGGGAUAACGUUCCGAAAGGAAUGCUAAUACCGCAUAAGCUCACACUCUGUAAAGGGGGGUGAGAAAAGGCGCAAGUCACGGGAGGAGGGGGCUGCGACCCAUCAGCUAGUUGGUGAGGUAACGGCUCACCAAGGCGACGACGGGUAGGGGGCCUGAGAGGGUGGCCCCCCACACUGGGACUGAGACACGGCCCAGACUCCUACGGGAGGCAGCAGUGAGGAAUAUUGCACAAUGGGGGCAACCCUGAUGCAGCGACGCCGCGUGGGUGAUGAAGGUUUUCGGAUCGUAAAGCCCUUUUCUGCAUGACGAGACAGGACGGUAGUGCAGGAAGAAGUGUCGGCUAACUACGUGCCAGCAGCCGCGGUAAUACG